rnacentral:rRNA from 1 species
GAACUGCGAAUGGCUCAUUACACCAGCCUUAAUUUACUUGACCUUGACACCCUACUUGGAUAACUGUGGUAAUUCUAGAGCUAAUACAUGCACCAAAGCUCCAAUCUCCCCAGAGCGGAGCGCAUUUGUUCGCCACAAAACCAAGCGCCUCAGGGCGUUCAGUGUUGACUCAGAACAACUAAGCUGAUCGCACGGUCUUGCACCGGCGACGUGUCUUUCAAGUGUCUGCCUUAUCAACUUUCGAUGGUAGUGUAUCUGACUACCAUGGUGAUGACGGGUAACGGAGGAUAAGGGUUCGACUCCGGAGAAGGGGCCUGAGAAAUGGCCACUACGUCUAAGGAUGGCAGCAGGCACGCAAAUUACCCACUCUCGACGCGAGGAGGUAGUGACGAGAAAUAACGAGACCGUUCUCAUCUGAGGCCGGUCAUCGGAAUGGGUACAAUUUAAACCCUUUAACGAGUAUCUAUGAGAGGGCAAGUCUGGUGCCAGCAGCCGCGGUAAUUCCAGCUCUCAAAAUGCAUAGAAUUAUUGCUGCGGUUAAAAAGCUCGUAGUUGGAUCUGUGCUGAGCGACCGGUCUGCCCACUGGGCACGCACUGGCUCGCCCGGCUUUCCCUGCCGGUCUCUCUCUGACGUUGGUUUUAACCGGCUGGCGUCAGUGGGCUGGCGAGUUUACUUUGAACAAAUCAGAGUGCUUCAAACAGGCGUCUCGCCUGAAUGUUCGUGCAUGGAAUAAUAGAAGAGGAUCACGGUCCGAUUUUAUUGGUUUUGCUGACCGAGAUAAUGGUUAACAGAGACAAACGGGGCCAUUCGUAUUGCUACGUGAGAGGUGAAAUUCUUGGACCGUAGCAAGACGGACUACAGCGAAAGCAUUUGGCAAGAAUGUCUUCAUUAAUCAAGAACGAAAGUCAGAGGUUCGAAGGCGAUCAGAUACCGCCCUAGUUCUGACCGUAAACGAUGCCAACUAGCGAUCCGCCGGCGGAUUCAUUCGCCCUGGUGGGGAGCUUCCCGGAAACGAAAGUCUUCCGGUUCCGGGGGAAGUAUGGUUGCAAAGCUGAAACUUAGAGGAAUUGACGGAAGGGCACCACCAGGAGUGGAGCCUGCGGCUUAAUUUGACUCAACACGGGGAAACUCACCCGGCCCGGACACCGUAAGGAUUGACAGAUUGAUAGCUUUUUCAUGAUUCGGUGGAUGGUGGUGCAUGGCCGUUCUUAGUUCGUGGAGCGAUUUGUCUGGUUUAUUCCGAUAACGAGCGAGACUCUGGCCUACUAAAUAGUUGGCACAUUGCCACUGUGUGCACAACUUCUUAGAGGGAUUUUCGGUGUUCAGCCGCACGAAAUUGAGCAAUAACAGGUCUGUGAUGCCCUUAGAUGUCCGGGGCUGCACGCGCGCUACACUGGCAAAAUCAGCGUGCUUGUCCUCCCCCGAAAGGGGUUGGUAAACCGAUGAAAAUUUGCCGUGAUUGGGAUCGGACAUUGCAAUUAUUGUCCGUGAACGAGGAAUCCCUUGUAAGGGCGAGUCAUCAACUCGUCCUGAAUACGUCCCUGCCCUUUGUACACACCGCUCGUCGCUGCCCGGGACUGAGCCAUUUCGAGAAAACCGGGGAUUGUUGGCCUGACGGCUCUCGGGUCGUCUAGCCGAUGAGAACCGGCUUAAUCGCACUGGUUUGAACCGGGCAAAAGUCGUAACAAGGUAGCUGUAGGUGAACCUGCGGCAGGAUCA